rnacentral:rRNA from 1 species
UACGAAGGGUGCAAGCGUUACUCGGAAUUACUGGGCGUAAAGCGUGCGUAGGUGGUUUGUUAAGUCUGUUGUGAAAGCCCCGGGCUCAACCUGGGAAUGGCAAUGGAUACUGGCAGGCUAGAGUGCGGUAGAAGGGUAGUGGAAUUCCCGGUGUAGCGGUGAAAUGCGUAGAGAUCGGGAGGAACACCAGUGGCGAAGGCGGCUACCUGGACCAGCACUGACACUGAGGCGCGAAAGCGUGGGGAGCGAAACAGG